rnacentral:tRNA from 1 species
GCGAGGGUUGCCAAGCCAGGUCAAAGGCGUCAGCUUGAGGGGCUGAUCUCGAAGGAGUUCGUGAGUUCAAAUCUCACCCCUCGCA